rnacentral:lncRNA from 1 species
UGAAAGAUAUAGACGAUUUAAAAUCAUAUAUUACUGUAUAUUUUUUAUUAAGGUUAUUGGAUUCAAACGUAAGGUUACCUCUAUGUUAUUUUUAAUAAUAGCAUGUGUGGGUAAUAUAGAUGCAAAUUUAAGGGGUUACUUUAAGUUUUUUAAGUAAUAGUGGUAGCCAAUUCAGUUGCAAAUUAGGGGGUUAUUAUAAAUAUUGUUUAUAAUGGUAUAAGUGGGUAAUUUGGAUGAAGAUUAGGGGGUUACUUUAGUUGAUUUUAUAUAAUGGCAGAGGUGGGUAAUUUAUAUAUAGAUUUAGGGGGUUACUUUAGACUAUUUUCAUAAUGGCAUAGGUGGGUAAUUUUUUAAAAAACAUAAUAGAUCCAAUGGCUAUGAUGAUUUGAAUCUAUCGAUUGAUGGUCGGAUGUUUUGCUUUUUUGUGAGAAUUUCUAGGAUUUCUCUCUUUUUCUAGAAUGUCCACCUAGGAAUCCUAGGUGGCUUCAUCUGGAGGCUUCAAAAGAAGCUACCAAUUAGUAAUAGUAAGAUUCUUAAAUUGAGUGAGGAGCAGUUUCCAUCGAGCUGGUACAUCAGAGGCUUCAUGUGUCCAGAUAUGUGCAUAUAGAUGUUCUUGUUGUCGUGUAUUCAUCAAGAUCUUUUAACCAUGCUAGAGAUCAACUUCUGCCCAUGAUAUCAAGA